rnacentral:lncRNA from 1 species
CUGUGUCACAGCUACACUGACAGAGCAUGUCACCAGACUUAGCCCCAGCAGGGACAUGCUUGGCUCUGGUGUUCCUCUGCACCAGGGCCUUCGGUCCAGCUGCCUCCUAUCCCAAGAAUGGCAGCUCCCACUUUCUACCUCUGCCUCAGUUUACUCACUUGCACCUGAGAUAUGUGUUCCCAAGUGUCAGGACAGAAACACCAAGCAGCACCUGUGCAGAAGCCCACUUUCUCUCCAGGCCAUUGGACCAAGAGGAGCUGAACACUUGGCAAACAGGGGUCAAGCCCUGUGUGCACCUAGUCGCCUUGUUCUACAGGCUCAGGUCCAAGAGAGAGUUUCUGGGUAGAACUGAAUUGAAUAGCAGGAUAAUAUUUGCUGAGUUUCUGCUUAUUUUUAUUUGU